AUUGAACGCUGGCGGCAAGCCUAACACAUGCAAGUCGAACGAGUGGCGGACGGGUGAGUAAUGUCUGGGCAACUGCCUGAUGGAGGGGGAUAACUAAUGGAAACGGUAGCUAAUACAGCAUACCAUCGGAUGUGCCCAGAUGGGAUUAGAUAGUAGGUGGGGUAAAGGCUCACCUAGGCGACGAUCCCUAGCUGGUCUGAGAGGAUGACCAGCCACACUGGAACUGAGACACGGUCCAUACUCCUACGUGAGGCAGCAGUGGGGAAUAUUGCACAAUGGGAGAAAGCCUGAUGCAGCCAUGCCGCGUGUAUGAAGAAGGCCUUCGGGUUGUAAAGUACUGUCAGCGGGGAGGCGUUACCCGCAGAAGAAGCACCGGCUAACUCCGAGCCAGCAGCCGCGGUAAUUC
rnacentral:rRNA from 1 species